rnacentral:lncRNA from 1 species
AAUCCCUCCGUAUGUUUCCCACAAUUUUCACAGUGCCGCCUAAAUGAAAAAAAAAAAAAAAAAGCAAUCCCUCCUUAUUCAUCACAUAUUUUUUGAUAAUCUCAAAAAAUAAAAAUACAUGGUGGGACCUUCAGUAACUACAACCUACAGAGGCUAGAUCUUUUUAUCGAAAAUUACACCACGACGUUUCUAGCUCUCACAAGCUUUCAUUUCUAUCCAAAUGUUUUUAAAAUCUUUUCAUUCAAUGGAGAAAAUGAUUCCUUGUUGAAACUUGCUCGAUCCAAAUUCUCAAUCUCACUGAAGAGUUCAAAAUCGCUUGCAAGAGAGUCGAAAAUUGCUAGUUUAUUCACUAAUUUCGAGACCCCUAACUUAACCGGUUCCGAAAUGCAAAUUAGGAUAAAAGAUUUUCAUUCUCAAAGCAUCUAAUUCAAGAAUAUCUUGGAAGCUCAACAGUGAAAUUAACCUUCCAACGUAGCUCCUUCUUACAAUCUCCACUUUUUCCUCGAUCUAACUUCUUCCAUGUGUUAACUAAAGAAUUUCCUUUCUAUGGAGGACAAACAUCUUCACCUGUGUUUCUUAUUUCAUUCCGAUCAAGUACGUUAUUCUUUAUAUGAUCUCUUUUCCUAUUUUUACGGUUUAAGAUUUGAUAAAAGUCAAUUGUUUGCAAUAAAUUUUAAACAUAUGGAAAAUCAAAAAAUCAUACAAAUAAAAUAUGAAGAAACAUGAUUUUAUUGAUUAAGAUAGCGGGUACAAUUCUAUU